rnacentral:rRNA from 1 species
GCUUGCUGGGGGAUUAGUGGCGAACGGGUGAGUAACACGUGAGUAACCUGCCCUUAACUCUGGGAUAAGCCUGGGAAACUGGGUCUAAUACCGGAUAUGACUCCUCAUCGCAUGGUGGGGGGUGGAAAGCUUUUUUGUGGUUUUGGAUGGACUCGCGGCCUAUCAGCUUGUUGGUGAGGUAAUGGCUCACCAAGGCGACRACGGGUAGCCGGCCUGAGAGGGUGACCGGCCACACUGGGACUGAGACACGGCCCARACUCCUACGGGAGGCAGCAGUGGGGAAUAUUGCACAAUGGGCGAAAGCCUGAUGCAGCGACGCCGCGUGAGGGAUGACGGCCUUCGGGUUGUAAACCUCUUUCAGUAGGGAAGAAGCGAAAGUGACGGUACCUGCAGAAGAAGCGCCGGCUAACUACGUGCCAGCAGCCGCGGUAAUACGUAGGGCGCAAGCGUUAUCCGGAAUUAUUGGGCGUAAAGAGCUCGUAGGCGGUUUGUCGCGUCUGCCGUGAAAGUCCGGGGCUCAACUCCGGAUCUGCGGUGGGUACGGGCAGACUAGAGUGAUGUAGGGGAGACUGGAAUUCCUGGUGUAGCGGUGAAAUGCGCAGAUAUCAGGAGGAACACCGAUGGCGAAGGCAGGUCUCUGGGCAUUAACUGACGCUGAGGAGCGAAAGCAUGGGGAGCGAACAGGAUUAGAUACCCUGGUAGUCCAUGCCGUAAACGUUGGGCACUAGGUGUGGGGGACAUUCCACGUUUUCCGCGCCGUAGCUAACGCAUUAAGUGCCCCGCCUGGGGAGUACGGCCGCAAGGCUAAAACUCAAAGGAAUUGACGGGGGCCCGCACAAGCGGCGGAGCAUGCGGAUUAAUUCGAUGCAACGCGAAGAACCUUCCAAGGCUUGACAUGAACCGGUAAUACCUGGAAACAGGUGCCCCGCUUGCGGUCGGUUYACAGGUGGUGCAUGGUUGUGUCAGCUCGUGUCGUGAGAUGUUGGGUUAAGUCCCGCAACGAGCGCAACCCUCKUUUAUGUUGCCAGCGCGUGAUGGCGGGGACUCAUAGGAGACGCCGGGGUCAACUCGGAGGAAGGUGGGGACGACGUCAAAUCUCAUGCCCCUUAUGUCUUGGGUUCACGCAUGCUACAAUGGCCGGUACAAAGGGUUGCGAUACUGUGAGGUGGAGUAAUCCCAAAAAGCCGGUCUCAGUUCGGAUUGGGGUCUGCAACUCGACCCCAUGA